rnacentral:misc_RNA from 1 species
GUGAGUCAUCGAAUCUUUGAACGCACAUUGCGCCCUUUGGUAUUCCUUAGGGCAUGCCUGUUCGAGCGUCAUUUCACCUUCAAGCACAGCUUGGUGUUGGGCGUCUGUCCUUCCGGACUCGCCUCAAAAAGAUUGGCGGCCACUUCAGCGGCUUUGAGCGCAGCAGAAUUGCGUCUUCUGGCAGCGGGAAGCGGCACCCACAAGUUUUUCAACAGUUUGACCUCGGAUCAGGUAGGGAUACCCGCUGAACUUAAGCAUAUCAAUAAGCGGAGGA